AAUAAAAAAAUAUUGUUAAGAUAUUCAUGGAAGAAGAGCAAUCCAGCGGGCCUGGAGUUUCUUGAAAAGAGAGCCGAUGUGCCUGACUUUUCGAGGGCCCAAGAUUUUAAAUUGAAUAUUUAUAAGGAGGGAAUUGAGAGAGGUCUAUGGCUUGAGGCAAACAAUACGUUCAUGAGAGUUUGCCAAAAAAUAGACAAUCUGCACAAGC
rnacentral:lncRNA from 1 species